CUGGGAUACUCCGGGAACCGGAGCUAAUACCGGAUAGUUCCUUGAACCGCAUGGUUCAAGGAUGAAAGACGGUUUCGGCUGUCACUUACAGAUGGACCCGCGGCGCAUUAGCUAGUUGGUGGGGUAAUGGCUCACCAAGGCGACGAUGCGUAGCCGACCUGAGAGGGUGAUCGGCCACACUGGGACUGAGACACGGCCCAGACUCCUACGGGAGGCAGCAGUAGGGAAUCUUCCGCAAUGGACGAAAGUCUGACGGAGCAACGCCGCGUGAGUGAUGAAGGUUUUCGGAUCGUAAAGCUCUGUUGUUAGGGAAGAACAAGUGCGAGAGUAACUGCUCGCACCCUUGACGGUACCUAACCAGAAAGCCACGGCUAACUACGUGCCAGCAGCCCGCGGUAAUACGUAGGUGGCAAGCGUUGUCCGGGAUUUUUGGGCGUAAAGGGCUCGCAGCGGUUUCUUAAGUCUGAUGUGAAAGCCCCCCGGCUCAACGGGGAGGUCAUUGAAACUGGGAAAUUGAAUGCAAAAAGAGAGGGAAUUCCCCGUGUAGGGGAAAGGGUAAAGAGGGA
rnacentral:rRNA from 1 species